rnacentral:tRNA from 1 species
GGAAGCGAGAGGGGUCUGGUGACCUCCGCGGCCUUCAAAGCCGUCCGCUCCGGUGGUCGCGCCAUCGGAGGGUGGGUUCGAUUCCCACACGCUUCCGCCA